rnacentral:lncRNA from 1 species
AUGCAUCGAACUCACAGAACAUCGCUCCCCAGCUGCCGGCCUGCAGUUCUGAGAGUGCCUGAAUAGAAAACCACUCAUUUCCCUUCGCAAUAGAGGCGCCCAAAGCAGAUAUGUCAAUAUAUUCCAAUUUAGCCGAGGGAAGCCAGAACAUGGAUGUUGUUGCCAAGGAAACCACCUCCUUCCUCCUGUGUGCCGUGCAUACGUGUAUCACUUCAUCUCUCUGCUCUCCAAGCUGGAAUCCAGAUCUGACGUGGAUCUCCUGCCCCAGUUCUGAAGUCUACCUGGUGCCCCAGCCGAACCUGCCCUGGCUCCUGCGUGGGGUAUGGACAUCUGUGGCAUCCCUCCCUAACACCCCACCAAGCUGGGCUGCAAGACAGGUUAUGGUGGCCCCAUGACUUCGUUCCUUGGCUUAUUUCCAUGAAGUUCUUCAGAGUUAGAAGCAUGAACUUUAGAAUGAGGUGACC